AUUGAACGCUGGCGGCAUGCUUUACACAUGCAAGUCGAACGGCAGCGCGGGCUUCGGCCUGGCGGCGAGUGGCGAACGGGUGAGUAAUGCGUCGGAACGUGCCCAGUAGUGGGGGAUAGCCCGGCGAGAGCCGGAUUAAUACCGCAUACGACCUGAGGGUGAAAGCGGGGGACCGAAAGGCCUCGCGCUAUUGGAGCGGCCGAUGUCGGAUUAGCUAGUUGGUGGGGUAAAGGCUUACCAAGGCGACGAUCCGUAGCUGGUCUGAGAGGACGACCAGCCACACUGGGACUGAGACACGGCCCAGACUCCUACGGGAGGCAGCAGUGGGGAAUUUUGGACAAUGGGGGCAACCCUGAUCCAGCCAUGCCGCGUGCGGGAAGAAGGCCUUCGGGUUGUAAACCGCUUUUGUUCGGGAAGAAAUCCUCUGGGCUAAUACCCCGGGGGGAUGACGGUACCGGAAGAAUAAGCACCGGCUAACUACGUG
rnacentral:rRNA from 1 species